rnacentral:snRNA from 1 species
GGGAGAGGGGAGAUACCAUGGUUGCAAAGGCCAUUUUCCCAGGGCGAGGCUUAUCCAUUGUACUCUGGAUUGGCUGAUCUCUGUAUUUCCCCCAAUGUGGGAAACUGGA